CGGCAUUGGCGGGCAGCUACACAUGCAAGUCGAGCGGUAGCACAGAGAGCUUGCUCUCGGGUGACGAGCGGCGGACGGGUGAGUAAUGUCUGGGAAACUGCCUGAUGGAGGGGGAUAACUACUGGAAACGGUAGCUAAUACCGCAUAACGUCGCAAGACCAAAGUGGGGGACCUUCGGGCCUCUUGCCAUCAGAUGUGCCCAGAUGGGAUUAGCUAGUAGGUGGGGUAACGGCUCACCUAGGCGACGAUCCCUAGCUGGUCUGAGAGGAUGACCAGCCACACUGGAACUGAGACACGGUCCAGACUCCUACGGGGAGGCAGCCAA
rnacentral:rRNA from 1 species